GAUGAACGCUGGCGGUAUGCUUAACACAUGCAAGUCGUACGAAGAUAAAAUUGUGCUUGCACGAUUUUAUACUUAGUGGCGGACGGGUGAGUAACACGUAAGAAUCUACCUUUUGGCGAGGGACAACCACUGGAAACGGUGGCUAAUACCUCAUAUAACUGAGAAGUGAAAGAUGAAAAUCACCAAGAGAUGAGCUUGCGUCUGAUUAGCUAGUUGGUAAGGUAAAGGCUUACCAAGGCGACGAUCAGUAGCUGGUCUGAGAGGAUGAUCAGCCACACUGGGACUGAGACACGGCCCAGACUCCUACGGGAGGCAGCAGUGGGGAAUUUUCCGCAAUGGGCGAAAGCCUGACGGAGCAACGCCGCGUGAGGGAUGAAGGCCUCUGGGCUGUAAACCUCUUUUAUCAAGGAAGAAGAUCUGACGGUACUUGAUGAAUAAGCCACGGCUAAUUCCGUG
rnacentral:rRNA from 1 species